GAGUGUCUAGCUUAGUGGUAAACUGUAUGCCUAACAUGCAUGAAGUCCUGGGUUCAAUCCCCAGUACCUCCA
rnacentral:tRNA from 1 species